UGUUAAUAUAUAUAAACCCAAAGCUCAUAAAACACUGAGAAAAACACAAAAACAGAGGCGUCGAUCGAUUUGGGGGAAAACAGAGGAGAAGCUAGGGUUUCAAUAUUUUAAUCCAAUUCGAGCACGAUUCAGGUGAGGGUCGAGUUUAUAAACAUGCUUAUAUGUGUAUGUAUUACUUGUUUGUGAUUGGAAUUGUUGGGAUUCAAAGGGAUGGGCUGAACUAGCGGCGGCCGGAGUGGUGCCCUGGCUGGUGUUGGCUGAUGAAGGAGAUGGGUUGUAUAUGUGUUGGUGUUCGAUCAUGGAGUAUGGGGCUGAUUGUUUGUCGGAGGAAAAGGGAGGGCGACGGUAGGUAGUUGUUUGUUGGCUGGCCGGCGUUUGUAUCUGCAGCAGAGAGAGCGGCAACCCCGCGUUGUUGGAACUCGGGAUGGUGGCAGUCGAGUUGUGGGUGUUGGUUAGUAGUGGGGUGUUGCGCAGUUGAAGAGAGGCGGUGACAAGCGGCGUGGACGUAGGUGGCCAGUGGGUCUGUUCGAGGGAGAGCGACCGGUGGCUGUGCGUGGGUAGGCCAGCGCCGCCGUGAGGCUGUGUUACAGCCGUGGGAAUUUGGAGCUGUUUGAAGGGUGUCGAGAUGCCAAGUCUGGCCGGGAAUUUGCUUGUGUGAGGGGGCUGCUGCGUUUCCGGUAGUUGAGUAGAUUGGAGCAGAAUCGCAGGGGAAGUGAGGGACUGUUUUGAAGGAGAUGAUGGUGGUGAGUUGUUUUAGUUAUUGUUGGCGUUUACAAAGUUACACUGGAGUCGUGGUGGAAGAAGCCGGGGCGGGACAGAACUUGGUUGUGGGUUGAUUUGGAUGACGGAGGAGUAGUGGAUUAAUAGUUCAAGGUUGGUAACAAAAAGCAUCAGCCAGUGAGACUGAUAGAGAUGGGGAUGGAGAUGAAAAAAGGUUUUGGAUUUGUUAUGUUUAGCUGCAGUUGGCACCACCUGGAGGUGGUUGCUUUCGGUUGUAGUUGUUAGCAGGGGGAGCAACUGUUGGCAUGUUGUGAUGGUGUAUGUUUGUAUGAGUUGGAAAUUGGUUGAGGUAAACUACUGGGUUGAGACAGGGGCGGCUGCAGAAGGAUGCAGUGGUGAUUGUUGGAGUGGAUUCAAAUGGCCAGAAAUCCGGCUAUGGCUUAUGGAACUAAACCAGAUAGGCCGAGAGAUAGAUAUUUUAUUAAUUAAUUAUGUAUUGUUGAGUUAUUAUUAUUAUCGGUAUUAUUAUUAUUAUCGGUUCAAUUGAUAAUGAUAAUGAUAAGUGAUACUUUUAAUAAUCUUGAUGAUUAAUAAUUGAUUAAAUUAUAUUCUAUUUCUGUCUCGAGUAUUGACGAAUAAAGUCGAUCGAGACGUGUACAUCAGCGACUUUCAGAAGCCAGAAAUUAGUGAUGCAAAUCAAGCCAGAAAUAAUUUGAUAAGGCGAUAUUGUGCCGCGAGAUAGUCCAAUAGAGUGUAGUGAUGUCAGAGAGUAGCAAUUGAGGCCAAGUUAGGAAUCUCGAGUAGUGUGACCGAGUUGUCACCUAUUUUUUUAUCAGAGGCAAGUAUUCCUAUUCUUCUCUUUUAAUUAAAGAGCAAGUAUUUCAAUUCUCUUUUGAUAAUGUAAGUGCUAUCUAUCACUUGUAUUUCCUGCAAGUAUGACUAUCCAUUUCCGAUAUUUGAAAGUACAAAUGCUUAUAUAUUUAUCUUGUGAUUUAAAAUAUCGAAUAUUUUCAGUUCGAUACUUUUUACUGUUAUAUGAACAGCGACAAUUCUAUUUGAAAAGCAUUUUGAUUAUUUUAAUCAGUUUUCUGAAAGAUUAUUGUCUGAGUUCUUUUACAGUUUGGAACUAUUGAUGACUCUAUAGCAGUCAUAUUUCGAUACUACAAUAUAUGCCUGGUCUUCUGUCCCAGACAUAAACCCUGGAUUUCAAAUAACUAAAUAGCUUUGUUUUUCCUUUGAGCCGUAUUACGGUGGAUUUUUAAAUUGUACUCAGACUUUGAUAAAAUUUGAUUUUGACAGUUUUUUGAAAUUGAAAAUGAAAGAGUUUUCAAAAAAAGUUUUGAAAGAGAGGCGUAAGGGGCUAGUGAUUAGUCCAGCCAGAGAGACCAGCAAAAAUAUUUUGUUUUGAUUGGAUGUAUGCGUAAGAGGCCGGGACGGCGGUCCAGUGAAGGGCUAGGUAUUAUAUGAAAUAUGUAUAAUACCAUUUCUGCCAAAGGCCAAUGUGUUGCCUUCUAUUUGGUACCUAUUGUUUGGAUCUGCUUCUACGAAGCAUGAUUCGUCGCUAUCACAGGAUUUCCUGAUCAGCUGUGUUAGUGUGCCGUUAGUUGAGAUUCCAAUCCAAAAACUGGUCAUUAUUGUUUAAGCUUAUGAUAGCUUAUGUUUACUGUCAAAUAUAUCUUGUGAAUUUUCAAGCAUAUUGAUUUAUAUGUUUGAUAAACUUUUGAGUUACAAAUGUUAUGAUUUACUUCAAAAGUUUGCUCUAUUUCAAAUACUCUGAUUUAAUUUAAAAGAAUUUAUAUCUUGUGGCUCUUGCCUUUCCUAUUAUCUUGCUGAGCAUUUUUGCUCACUCUUGCUAUUGUUUCUAACCCUUUCAGCUAAGGAUUAAGACGAGUUGUAUAAGCUGCGCGUAAGAUUGAUGCUAGGCGAGAUUGCCAGGGAGAUGUUUACAAGAGUAGUUUUGGUUAGAGUUGAAUUAUUUCAGUUCAGUUGUAUAAUAGAUUUAUUUAUUUGGUUAUCAGUCACUCUUUUUAUCGAGGUUUAACUGAUAAUGUAGUUUAAGUUGUAAUAAAAUUUGAUAGCUUUGGUUUC